AACACGUGGACAACCUACCCUGUGGAGGGGGAUAACCCCGGAAAACUGGGGAUAAUACCCCAUAGGUUAGGGUGGCUGGAAUGCCCCCUAGCUCAAAGGUCCGCCGCCACAGGAUGGGUCUGCGGCCGAUUAGGUUGUUGUUGGGGUAACGGCCCAACAAGCCUUUGAUCGGUACGGGUUGUGGGAGCAAGAGCCCGGAGAUGGAUUCUGAGACACGAAUCCAGGCCCUACGGGGCGCAGCAGGCGCGAAAACUUUACAAUGCGAGAAAUCGUGAUAAGGGAACCCCGAGUGCCCGUAAAUUCGGGCUGUCCGCCAGUGCAAAAAACUGGUGAAGAAAGAGCCGGGCAAGACC
rnacentral:rRNA from 1 species